rnacentral:rRNA from 1 species
GAUGAACGCUGGCGGCGUGCUUAACACAUGCAAGUCGAACGAAGCACUUUAUUUGAUUUCCUUCGGGACUGAUUAUUUUGUGACUGAGUGGCGGACGGGUGAGUAACGCGUGGGUAACCUGCCUUGUACAGGGGGAUAACAGUUGGAAACGGCUGCUAAUACCGCAUAAGCGCACAGCAUCGCAUGAUGCAGUAUGAAAAACUCCGGUGGUAUAAGAUGGACCCGCGUUGGAUUAGCUAGUUGGUGAGGUAACGGCCCACCAAGGCGACGAUCCAUAGCCGACCUGAUAGGGUGACCGGCCACAUUGGGACUGAGACACGGCCCAAACUCCUACGGGAGGCAGCAGUGGGGAAUAUUGCACAAUGGGCGAAAGCCUGAUGCAGCGACGCCGCGUGAGCGAAGAAGUAUUUCGGUAUGUAAAGCUCUAUCAGCAGGGAAGAUAAUGACGUUACCUGACUAAGAAGCACCGGCUAAAUACGUG